GACGAACGCUGGCGGCGUGCCUAAUACAUGCAAGUAGAACGCUGAAGGAGGAGCUUGCUCUUCUGGAUGAGUUGCGAACGGGUGAGUAACGCGUAGGUAACCUGCCUGGUAGCGGGGGAUAACUAUUGGAAACGAUAGCUAAUACCGCAUAACAGUAGAUGUUGCAUGACAUUUGCUUAAAAGGUGCAAUUGCACCACUACCAGAUGGACCUGCGUUGUAUUAGCUAGUUGGUGGGGUAACGGCUCACCAAGGCGACGAUACAUAGCCGACCUGAGAGGGUGAUCGGCCACACUGGGACUGAGACACGGCCCAGACUCCUACGGGAGGCAGCAGUAGGGAAUCUUCGGCAAUGGACGGAAGUCUGACCGAGCAACGCCGCGUGAGUGAAGAAGGUUUUCGGAUCGUAAAGCUCUGUUGUAAGAGAAGAACGAGUGUGAGAGUGGGAAGUUCACACUGUGACGGUAGCUUACCAGAAAGGGACGGCUAACUACGUG
rnacentral:rRNA from 1 species